UUUAAUUAACUUGGUAACGCAGCUAACGCGUGAAGUAGACCGCCUGGGGAGUACGGUCGCAAGAUUAAAACUCAAAGGAAUUGACGGGGACCCGCACAAGCGGUGGAUGAUGUGGAUUAAUUCGAUGCAACGCGAAAAACCUUACCUACCCUUGACAUGUACGGAAGCCUUGAGAGAUCGAGGUGUGCUCGAAAGAGAGCCGUAACACAGGUGCUGCAUGGCUGUCGUCAGCUCGUGUCGUGAGAUGUUGGGUUAAGUCCCGCAACGAGCGCAACCCUUGUCAUUAGUUGCUACAUUUAGUUGAGCACUCUAAUGAGACUGCCGGUGACAAACCGGAGGAAGGUGGGGAUGACGUCAAGUCCUCAUGGCCCUUAUGGGUAGGGCUUCACACGUCAUACAAUGGUACAUACAGAGGGCCGCCAACCCGCGAGGGGGAGCUAAUCCCAGAAAGUGUAUCGUAGUCCGGAUCGCAGGCUGCAACUCGCCUACGUGAAG
rnacentral:rRNA from 1 species